rnacentral:lncRNA from 1 species
AUUUCCUUCAGGAUUAAUAAAGUUUUAUCUUAUCUUAUCUUAUCUUAUCUUAUCUUAUCUUAUCUUAUCUUAUCUUAUCUUAUCUUAUCUUAUCUUAUCUUAUCUUAUCUUAUCUUAUCUUAUAAAAUUCAUACUGUAUACAUUGGUGAGACUACAGUUUGAGAUCUGACCAUUGACUUUAUUUCCCAGCUGGCUCCACUUCUAUUGGCAUCCCAGGACCACCUGGGCCUGCUGGUCCUCCUGGCCCUUCAGGGCCUCCAGGAUUAUCAGGUGGGACUGUUGUUAAGCAUGUCAUAAGUAUGUCUGAAUGACUGUACAAAUGUCAAACUGAUUCUUUAUUUAUUAUCUCCUCAGGUCCCAUUGGUCCUGCUGGUCUGCCUGGAUCACCUGGUCAGUCAUUGUACUUUAUUUAUUUUGUUAGAUUUACAGUGCAGUGAGUCAUAGAUGCUAUUAUUGUGUCCAAUUCCAGGUCCUAAAGGUGACAGAGGAUAUAAGGGAGACCAGGGAGAGUCAGGAAUAUCAGUACGAACGUCUGAGACCAUAAGCUCGACGAGGACUGGGAGUCAGUUUAGUUCUGCAGGAGCUUCUGUACUGUCCGGUCCACCUGGUCCACCAGGCCCACCUGGCAUCCCUGGACGUCCAGGAGAUGCAAGACAAGGACCCCCAGGACCGCCCGGGCCUCCAGGCCAGCCAGGAUAUGGUAGACCAGGACCCAAAGGAGAAAAAGGAGACACUGGCUUUGUGUCCGGCUCUGGGACAUUUUCUCCUGGCCCACCAGGACUACCUGGGCCUCCUGGGCCUAAGGGAUCAACAGGUUCCCCUGGGCCAAGGGGAUACCAAGGUGAACCAGGUAUCCCGGGAAGACCAGGAAGCUCUGAGAGAGUGUCCACUUAUACAGACGGACAUGGGGGUUCAGGACUACAAGGACCACCAGGCCCUCCUGGACCACCGGGAGUUCCUGGGAUUCCAGGCACAUCAAGAGUCACCUCAGGUCUCCCUGGUCCCCAAGGUCCUCCUGGCCCUCCUGGCCUGCCAGGCUCUUUUGCUUCUUCCAGUGAGAUGCACUCAUACAUCACAGACUAUCUAAGUAGAGUAAGACAGAGUGGUAUCCCUGGACCUCCAGGUCCACCUGGACCUCCAGGGGUCCCUGGAAGCUUCUCAGGCUCUCUGGAGGACAUCUCUGCUCGUGUCAUCGCAUACCUGCAACGUUCAGGCUCAGGACUUAACUUGGGUGUUCAGGGUCCUCCAGGGCCACCUGGUCCACCUGGAAGCUCAGGAUCCUUGUCAGUCAGUGCUCUCAUUUCGAUGCUGCAGAGAGACGAUGUGAGGAGGUAUAUGUCAGGGCCACCAGGGCCACAGGGACCACCUGGACCACCUGGAGCAUCUGGAGGACUAUCUGGCAGUUACAGAGUGGAGGAGGUUGCCACAUACGUCUUUAACAUCAUGAAUGAAAGAGGAAUCGCUCAUGGUCCACCUGGGCCACGUGGUCUUCCUGGGCCUCCUGGGCCUUCUGGUGGAGGAACGUCUGGCUACACUACUGCUACAAUCGACUACUCUGCACUGAUGAGAAAUUCGGAGUUCCGCUCGUGGAUCUCUUCUGCUGUACAACAUGGUCCUCCUGGUCCUCCGGGUGUCCCAGGUCAACCAGGCCCCCCUGGUCCACAGGGGCCACCAGGAAGCUCCACUGCAACUGUGUAUGGGUCAGGAGGUCGUGGUUACAGCUUGGAGGACAUCCAGCGAUAUCUGCAGGGUCCUGGUUUCAGAGGACUCCCUGGCCCUCCUGGCCCUCCAGGUCCACAGGGACCACAGGGUCCAGCUGGCACUUUAUCUGGAUCAGUCUCCUACAGUGGAAGCUUUCCGCGGGAGAGUGUCCGUGCUGAAAUUCAGGAGUAUCUGACCAGUGACAGUGUUCGUCGUGCCAUCACUGGACCUCCAGGGCCUCCAGGUGCAAGGGGUCAGAAGGGAGAUCGUGGAGAUUCAGGUUUGGUCCAGGGCUACUUGCAGAGCCAGGGCUAUUCUCAGGGUCACUCUCGCCAUGGCUCAGAGCGCAGAGAGAUUGACGUCAGCAGCCUCACUGAGAAUCUGGACUACUCCAGUGUCGCCAUGAAAGUCACAGACUACAUCAAGAAUCAAGGUCUGCUGCAGGAGUAUCUGGGUGAGGGUUCUUGGAAGACGAAUGUACGAGCCAUUCAGGGACCACCUGGUCCGCCUGGCCCUUCUGGACCACCUGGGCAGAGUCGUGUCUUUGCAUCCUACGGCAACAUCACAGCUGACCUCAUGGUCUUCUUCAGAACGUACGGCACCAUCCCCGGCCCUCCAGGAGGCCCUGGACCAAAGGGAGAGAGAGGGCACCCCGGACCCAGGGGAGAAAAGGGGGAUCCAGGGCGCCCAGGUUUACCUGGACUUCCAGGACCAUACACAGUCCAGAUUCCACACAGACUGGAGAAGAGGGAUACAGGCAACAAAGACAAAGUGGUUGGUCGUCGUCAGCAGUACCGUCGUCAAGCCGGUGGUGCCUGA